rnacentral:rRNA from 1 species
CAGUCGCCGCGGUAAUACGUAGGGCGCGAGCGUUGUCCGGAAUUAUUGGGCGUAAAGAGCUCGUAGGCGGCUGGUCGCGUCUGUCGUGAAAUCCUCUGGCUUAACUGGGGGCUUGCGGUGGGUACGGGCCGGCUUGAGUGCGGUAGGGGAGACUGGAACUCCUGGUGUAGCGGUGGAAUGCGCAGAUAUCAGGAAGAACACCGGUGGCGAAGGCGGGUCUCUGGGCCGUUACUGACGCUGAGGAGCGAAAGCGUGGGGAGCGAACAGGAUUAGAUACCCCGGUAGUCCCUGUCUCUUAUAA